GAUCCGUUAGCUCAGUCGGUAGAGCACAUGACUUUUAAUCAUGGGGUCACAAGUUCGAAUCUUGUACGGAUCACCA
rnacentral:tRNA from 1 species